rnacentral:tRNA from 1 species
CAAGAGAUAACUUAUAGUAAAGUGUUUCAUUUACACUGAAUUUAUUUCUGUGCAAAUCAGGAUUUCUUGA